UCCGGUUUGUCACCGGCAGUCUCGCAUGAGUCCCCAACUAAAUGCUGGCAACAUGCGACGGGGGUUGCGCUCGUUGCGGGACUUAACCCAACAUCUCACGACACGAGCUGACGACAGCCAUGCACCACCUGUGAAGGUGCCCCGAAGGGAAGCCGUGUUUCCACGGCGGUCACCUACAUGUCAAGACCAGGUAAGGUUCUUCGCGUUGCGUCGAAUUAAACCACAUGCUCCACCGCUUGUGCGGAGCGUGUGGU
rnacentral:misc_RNA from 1 species